rnacentral:rRNA from 1 species
GAUGAACGCUGGCGGCGUGCCUAAUACAUGCAAGUCGAGCGAACAGACGAGGAGCUUGCUCCUCUGACGUUAGCGGCGGACGGGUGAGUAACACGUGGAUAACCUACCUAUAAGACUGGGAUAACUUCGGGAAACCGGAGCUAAUACCGGAUAAUAUAUUGAACCGCAUGGUUCAAUAGUGAAAGACGGUUUUGCUGUCACUUAUAGAUGGAUCCGCGCCGCAUUAGCUAGUUGGUAAGGUAACGGCUUACCAAGGCAACGAUGCGUAGCCGACCUGAGAGGGUGAUCGGCCACACUGUGACUGAGACACGGUCCAGACUCCUACGGGAGGCAGCAGUAGGGAAUCUUCCGCAAUGGGCGAAAGCCUGACGGAGCAACGCCGCGUGAGUGAUGAAGGUCUUCGGAUCGUAAAACUCUGUUAUUAGGGAAGAACAAAUGUGUAAGUAACUAUGCACGUCUUGACGGUACCUAAUCAGAAAGCCACGGCUAACUACGUG